AAAAGAACCCCGGCGAGGGGAGUGAAACAGAACCUGAAACCGUGUACGUACAAGCAGUGGGAGCACCUUCGUGGUGUGACUGCGUACCUUUUGUAUAAUGGGUCAGCGACUUAUAUUUUGUAGCAAGGUUAACCGAAUAGGGGAGCCGUAGGGAAACCGAGUCUUAACUGGGCGUCUAGUUGCAAGGUAUAGACCCGAAACCCGGUGAUCUAGCCAUGGGCAGGUUGAAGGUUGGGUAACACUAACUGGAGGACCGAACCGACUAAUGUUGAAAAAUUAGCGGAUGACUUGUGGCUGGGGGUGAAAGGCCAAUCAAACCGGGAGAUAGCUGGUUCUCCCCGAAAGCUAUUUAGGUAGCGCCUCGUGAACUCAUCUUCGGGGGUAGAGCACUGUUUCGGCUAGGGGGUCAUCCCGACUUACCAAACCGAUGCAAACUCCGAAUACCGAAGAAUGUUAUCACGGGAGACACACGGCGGGUGCUAACGUCCGUCGUGAAGAGGGAAACAACCCAGACCGCCAGCUAAGGUCCCAAAGUCAUGGUUAAGUGGGAAACGAUGUGGGAAGGCACAGACAGCCAGGAUGUUGGCUUAGAAGCAGCCAUCAUUUAAAGAAAGCGUAAUAGCUCACUGGUCGAGUCGGCCUGCGCGGAAGAUGUAACGGGGCUAAACCAUGCACCGAAGCUGCGGCAGCGAACGUAUCACUUAAAACGCUUAACGUGACGGCAAAGCCGGCAUGUUCAAGCCACACUAAACGUUGAGUUGGCCGGUGUGCUGACAAACGAACAGGCGUUUUAAGGAUACGUUCGUUGGGUAGGGGAGCGUUCUGUAAGCCGUUGAAGGUGACCUGUGAGGGUUGCUGGAGGUAUCAGAAGUGCGAAUGCUGACAUAAGUAACGAUAAUGCGGGUGAAAAACCCGCACGCCGGAAGACCAAGGGUUCCUGUCCAACGUUAAUCGGGGCAGGGUGAGUCGACCCCUAAGGCGAGGCUGAAAAGCGUAGUCGAUGGGAAACAGGUUAAUAUUCCUGUACUUGGUGUUACUGCGAAGGGGGGACGGAGAAGGCUAGGCUAGCCGGGCGACGGUUGUCCCGGUUUAAGCAUGUAGGCGGAGUGACCAGGUAAAUCCGGUUGCUUAUCAACGCUGAGGUGUGAUGACGAGUCACUACGGUGAUGAAGUAGUUGAUGCCAUGCUUCCAGGAAAAGCCUCUAAGCAUCAGGUAACAUGAAAUCGUACCCCAAACCGACACAGGUGGUCAGGUAGAGAAUACUCAGGCGCUUGAGAGAACUCGGGUGAAGGAACUAGGCAAAAUGGUGCCGUAACUUCGGGAGAAGGCACGCUGGCAUUAGGUAAAGGGACUUGCUCCCGGCGCCGAAGCCAGUCGCAGAUACCAGCUGGCUGCAACUGUUUAAUAAAAACACAGCACUGUGCAAACACGAAAGUGGACGUAUACGGUGUGACGCCUGCCCGGUGCUGGAAGGUUAAUUGAUGGGGUCAGCCGCAAGGCGAAGCUCUUGAUCGAAGCCCCAGUAAACGGCGGCCGUAACUAUAACGGUCCUAAGGUAGCGAAAUUCCUUGUCGGGUAAGUUCCGACCUGCACGAAUGGCGUAAUGAUGGCCAGGCUGUCUCCACCCGAGACUCAGUGAAAUUGAACUCGCUGUGAAGAUGCAGUGUACCCGCGGCAAGACGGAAAGACCCCGUGAACCUUUACUAUAGCUUGACACUGAACAUUGAGCCUUGAUGUGUAGGAUAGGUGGGAGGCAUAGAAGUGUGGACGCCAGUCUGCAUGGAGCCAACCUUGAAAUACCACCCUUUAAUGUUUGAUGUUCUAACUCGGCCCCGUAAUCCGGGGUGAGGACAGUGUCUGGUGGGUAGUUUGACUGGGGCGGUCUCCUCCCAAAGAGUAACGGAGGAGCACGAAGGUUAGCUAAUCACGGUCGGACAUCGUGAGGUUAGUGCAAAGGCAUAAGCUAGCUUGACUGCGAGAGUGACGGCUCGAGCAGGUACGAAAGUAGGUCUUAGUGAUCCGGUGGUUCUGAAUGGAAGGGCCAUCGCUCAACGGAUAAAAGGUACUCCGGGGAUAACAGGCUGAUACCGCCCAAGAGUUCAUAUCGACGGCGGUGUUUGGCACCUCGAUGUCGGCUCAUCACAUCCUGGGGCUGAAGUAGGUCCCAAGGGUAUGGCUGUUCGCCAUUUAAAGUGGUACGCGAGCUGGGUUUAGAACGUCGUGAGACAGUUCGGUCCCUAUCUGCCGUGGGCG
rnacentral:rRNA from 1 species